rnacentral:antisense_RNA from 1 species
CUUGAUCGAGCCCAACUUCAAAGGCCGAUCACGAUCGCGGCCGUACGUGGCCAACAGCGCCUGUGCCUC